ensembl:lncRNA novel transcript
AACUUGGGUUCCUGCGGAAGGCAAGGCGGCCACUCGUCCCCUGGCUGCGGCUGCGGGGCCCAGGCCUUGGCGCGCAGGGAGUGGGAAGGAGAAAAGGACGAGAAGGGGCAAGCACCAGCCGCACCAGCAAAGGGGGCGAGGGUGGCGCGCGCAAGAUGAGGGGAGCUGAAGCCCUGCAUCCCGAAGGAGGCUGCGCCCACCGCCCGCAACUCCACUCCAGGCUCGCCAGCCGGAAGAAAGAGGAGGAAGUGGGACAACGGGGGUCCUGGGCAGGGGUAGGGGAAACGAUCAACUCCCACUGCCCCCACCCACUAGUCGAGUUGGAAUGCAAGUCGUCACUUAAAAAGGCUCACCCAAACCGCAGGCAUACCUCCUCACCCCUUAAAGAAACAUUGAUGUAAUAGUGUGGAGAAGUAACUGAGAGACGCGAGGAAAUAAAUGCACGUGUUUUCUCUUUUUGUUUC